UACGUAGGUGGCAAGCGUUAUCCGGAAUUACUGGGCGUAAAGCGCACGCAGGCGGUCUUGUAAGUUUGACGUGAAAGCUCCCGGCUUAACUGGGAGAGGUCGUUGAAGACUGCAAGACUUGAGGCAAUGAGAGGGGUGUAGAAUUCCCGGUGUAGUGGUGGAAUGCGUAGAUAUCGGGGGGAAUACCAGUGGCGAAAGCGGCACCCUAGCGUUAGCCUGACGCUCAUGUGCGAAAGCGUGGGGAGCGAACAGG
rnacentral:rRNA from 1 species